UAUGUAGUCUCUGAAAAUGGAAGAAAAUAUAGCAGAUAUGGAAGGUGCACUCUUUCAGUUCUUGCUGCCUAUUUCCACCGGCUGGUCUUAUAGUCAGUCCCCUGCUUUUAUCUAUUGUCUGCUGUUAUAUAGGACAGGCAAAACUGGGUCAACACUGUCUCUGCUGCUUACUAGUUUGUGACUUUAGGCAAGUUAACUUCUCAGAGUUUUAAUUUUAUUAUCUUAAAACUGGAGUUUAUAAUAGUUCGUACUUUAUAGCAUUGUUGUAAAGAUGAGGUCUUUUUAAAACAUAACAACUAGAACUACUCUCAAAGUUCCAAAUACAAAUGCUAUUUUCUGUUUCUAGUAAUUUUCCUGUUAACUACUCAACAUUUAGGUGACUGUUAUAGCUGCAGAAGCACAGUACGCUUAGAGCUUUAGGAAGUGUCACUAAUAAACUAUGAUAUCUCUAAUUAAAUGUCUGUAAAUUAUAAAUGUCUCUAAUAAAAAUAAUAAAGUAAAUCUUAUAACUUACA
rnacentral:lncRNA from 10 species